rnacentral:misc_RNA from 1 species
AGUUGAAUCAAUUAUUCCAAGCGAUUAAUCAAAAGAGAAAAAAGAAAAACCCAAAAAAGAAUUUUCGAAAAAAAAAUCUGAAUGGAAUGAAUGCAGCGAAAUUGCAGAUCAAGAAACAAAGAGAACCAAAACAAAUGCCGUUUGGACGAGCAGAUAAAACCCUAGAAUUAAAAUAAUAAAAGAAAAGAAAUGGAUACGCAGCUUGUAGGCGCGUUUGGUAU